UAGUGUUCAUCAUGGCGAUCUGAUGGCACCAGGAGAAAUGGAGCCCCUGGCCAGUGUGAGUCGUAGCGGUGCAGGAGGGGAGACCCUGGAGGAAAGAGCCCGCCUAAAUUGCUGUCUGCAGAGUGAAUUUCCAGAGGCUUAGGAGGAGGAAGUUCUCCA
ensembl:misc_RNA